CUGUUAUUCCCUGGAGACAGGACUUCAUCCAUGUAAGAACCACAUGGAUGAGACUGCAAAGAAAGGAUAUUUUGCUGCGGCAGAAACACUUCUAUGCCUCUGGAUAUGAAGUUUAUAUGAGUUAAAUCUUUGUUUGCUAAUUCUGAAACAGACUCUCUAUUGAUUUGACUUCCUGUGCUGUAAAACCCUGCUGCUUCCAUGCACAUGCUUCUGGGCCAACUGGGGGUCAACAGAUACUUCCCAGGAAGGAACUUGACGGCUUUUCCUUUCUUCACUUGAAAUGCAAAGUCCUCUCUCUUUGAACGUUAUAGAAAAGUGCAGUAAUGGCAAAGCUACAGGGGAAAUGGAUCCAUAAAUUUAAAAGUGUCACUUCCAACAUCACCAAGUACAGCAAUACGACAUGCAAAUGAAGUUGUUGUGAUGGAGAAUAGCCUGUUGUUUCUGAUAAUUGUCGGUGAAGAAACCAGAAGGUUGGUAUUUACAUCUCAGUAGUGAGUGAAAUGCUCCUUGGAAGAGUUAAGGGAGCCCAAGGAUAAGCAGAUCCCUGCUGUUUAAUUUAACAGUGCUGCAAGAAGCCAAGGACGUUUCACCUUCCCGCACUGCCUUGACAGUGAAGAGCUGGGGGACACAAGGAGCUGGUAGAGGACAGAACCAGGACAGCUGGUCCAGGCUGACCAAAGGAAAAUCCCAUACCAUAUGGCAUCAUGCAGAGCAUCAAAUCUGGGGGGAGCUGGGGGGGCUGCCAUUGCUUGGGAAUGGGCUGGGUAUUGGUCAGUGG
rnacentral:lncRNA from 1 species